UACGAAGGGUGCAAGCGUUAAUCGGAAUUACUGGGCGUAAAGGGUGCGUAGGCGGUUGUUUAAGUCUGUCGUGAAAUCCCCGGGCUCAACCUGGGAAUGGCGAUGGAUACUGGGCAGCUAGAGUGUGUCAGAGGAUGGUGGAAUUCCCGGUGUAGCGGUGAAAUGCGUAGAGAUCGGGAGGAACAUCAGUGGCGAAGGCGGCCAUCUGGGACAACACUGACGCUGAAGCGCGAAAGCGUGGGGAGCAAACAGG
rnacentral:rRNA from 1 species